GAGGUAGAGUGCUAGCCUAAAGUAAAAGGCAGCACCCAGGCCCUGAAUUCAAGCCCCACAACUAACGAAAGAAAAGAACCCAUAGUGAAACCGUGUCUAUUGUAUGCAUGCCUCCAAUGUUUAGAUGACCUAUCAAUUAAAUUUGGAAUUCAGAGUAUCUGCACCUUCAAACUAACCCAUUGCCUAUCUUAAUUCAAUAAAUCAUAAACAAAUUUAUAAAAAUUAAAUGUCACACUGAAAUCCAGAAUUUAAGUAUUUUAGUGAAACAAAAAUAAACAUACUUGAAAGCUACAAUACAACUG